rnacentral:rRNA from 1 species
AACGAACGCUGGCGGCGUGCCUAACACAUGCAAGUCGAACGGGAAAGCCCGCAAGGGUGAGUACAGUGGCGCACGGGUGCGUAACACGUGGGUAAUCUGCCCAGAAGCCCGGAAUAACUCCCCGAAAGGGGUGCUAAUGCCGGAUGAGACCACGGGGACUUCGGUUCCUGGGGGAAAAGGUGGCCUCUGUAUACAAGCUAUCACUUCUGGAUGAGCCCGCGGCCCAUCAGCUAGUUGGCGGGGUAAUGGCCCACCAAGGCUACGACGGGUAGCUGGUCUGAGAGGACGAUCAGCCACACUGGAACUGAGACACGGUCCAGACUCCUACGGGAGGCAGCAGUGGGGAAUCUUGCGCAAUGGGCGAAAGCCUGACGCAGCAACGCCGCGUGUGUGAUGAAGGUCUUCGGAUCGUAAAGCACUGUCGGGAGGGACGAAUAAGGGCCGGGUGAACAAUCCGGUCCGACGACGGUACCUCCAAAGGAAGCACCGGCUAACUCUGUGCCAGCAGCCGCGGUAAUACAGAGGGUGCUAGCGUUGUUCGGAAUUAUUGGGCGUAAAGCGCGUGUAGGCGGCCGGCCAAGUCGGAUGUGAAAGCCCUCGGCUUAACCGAGGAAGUGCGUUCGAUACUA